UCACAGCCUCUUAUCAGUAUCAUUCAGUAUUGAGAGACCAGGCAACCAUGAUGCUCACCUCCAAAUCUCACUGACUGUAUUUUCAAGUGCACAACUAAAUCCUGCCAGAUGAAGCCUCCUACCAGCACUGUAGGAAGAAGGCAUGUGCUGAUCCCUGGGAGUUUCAUCUCAGGAAGGUCCUGUGGUUUCUGCCCUCAACAAACACAGUUUUGUGACAAACUCACCAGCAAAAUGAAAACAUGAAUGUUAUCACUUUUGCCAGUUUCCAAUGUGCUACCAGUGACAUUUUUUUCCCCUAAAUAUCAAUAAACAUAAAUUCGAAGGCA
rnacentral:lncRNA from 1 species